UAGAGUAUACUGUCACAUGUAAUGACAUGUAGUUAUUUAAAUUAAAGCUUAAUAAAAUUAAAAAUUCAGUUCCACAUUUCAAGUGCUCAGUAGGCAUUUGUGGCUACUAACCACUGUACUGAAUAGCACAGAUAGUCUUUCCACUCAUGUCCUAUUGGACUGAGUGGAUUUAAAGGUACUAUUAAAGAAAAAAAAAACUUUUAGGAUGAAACUGGUUUGGCUCAGUGGAUAGAGCAUCGGCCUGC